UGAAGUUUUGCCUUCACCUGCCACUGUGGUCAGGUCACUGAACAUUUCUAUUUGCCACUCAUUAUUUGUCUGCCACUUCUAAAAUCGAUGUAGAACGCUUAAUUGACAAUGCUAAAAUGUCUUUUAAAAUGCCAUAAAUUAAAUCAUAGCAUUGUAUUCCAUUCAAGUCAUAAUAAAGAAUGUCUUAAAAAAGUUGUAGGUAUAGUAAGGUAUGUAAUAUAAAGUCCUCGUUGUGCAUUCCAUAAAAAAGUCAUAUAUAAAGUCAUAGUUUAGUAUGAUCAUAACCAAUCAUUGACAAAUCAAAGUAUAGUAGUUUAUGUGAAAAUGUACAGACAAUUUCCUAGUAUAUAAAUCAUUAACAAUACCAUAGUAUAGUUUAUCGUAAAACAAUUAUAAAAAAAGGAAGGAUAGAGUUCAGAUGGGGUGUACAUGAGAAAAGGGAGAGGUCUUUAGGGCGCCUUGCUGUAUCAGGCAGAUAUUAUUAUUAAUACAGUAGAUCAAACUUACUGCUCGUUCUGUGUCUCCUAGGAAGCCAUCCAGGAUCUGUCAGCUCUUUGCAAGAUUGUGUUUGCUUGCUAAUCUCUAACAAUGUAUCCGUGUCUUUAAAUCACUCUGAUCCAUGUAUGUGUUUCUCUUCUUUUCUUUACUGCUUUCAUGUCUUUGUUAUUGUGUUUCUCACAGACUAAAGAUUGUCUUCGCAGACUGUCUCACCUGCCUGCCUCCUGCAUGCCCAGACAACAAUCCAUACAGAACUUAUUAAUGUGUGUGUGUGUGUGUGACAUAACAAGAUCUUUUGUGCUUACAGGAGGGUGUUAAAGACAAAGAAGACAUGAAACAGUUCAGCACAGCCUUGGAAGGUGACCAGUCUCCGGUGGAGAGGAUCAGAUGGGCGGUGAGAGCUGUGCUGGGGGGUUGACUGUUCCUGCAUCAGUAAGCGUGGGCUGCCAGAAGGACUAAAGGGCUGACGGUGCUGGGCGGCAGAGGCUGGGUCAGGGAAAAUGGUCCUGCCAGAGCCCGGUGCCUGGCCCUCUCAGGGGUUCGCCUGCUCCCUGUGCAAAACGGCUGUUCAGCAGCCUGGAGCAUCUGAGGGAACACGAGUACCACCACACCCUGUCUCUGAUGGCCUUGUCUCUGGACUGGCCAAACAUGCAGGGUCCGCACCACCAACCUACUCAGCUCCGUCACCAUCCACAAUCCCAGCCUCUUCACUUCUUCCAGUCUCUCUGCCGCCCGCACAGUGGGCCGAGCCCACGUCGGCCCGCUCAUUUGCUCCCCAGUGCCCCGCAAGCUUCACCCUCAAAUCAAACGCAGACAGACACGAGAAGACCAUCCACUUCAAGAAGAAGCUGAUGCAGUGUGUGUGCUGUAUGAAACACUUCAGAGACCGCACCGACCUGCACAGGCAUCUGUCCUCCGUGCACUCCAAAGAAAGAGGGCACACCUUGCCCCGCCUGUGCCAAGGCUUUUAGCACCCAGAAAAACCUGGCGACACAUGUUAAAGUGUGCUGCCAGAUGGGGUCAACGCCAGGAGCUCUGCUGGGAGGCAGCACUGGGAUGGAAAUGACUCAGGGUGGGGUUAUAGAUUCCCUGUGGAGGUUUUCUCAUGAGAGGAAAGUUGACAAUCAUGAUCUCAGUAUCAAUGUGGAAAAUUGAGGCAGACUUUGUGCACUCAUUUAUACCCAUCAGUUAGCAGCGUAUCCUCACGUGUUUACGUUCACCAAGAUGCUCUGUGGCGCAAUUGCACUAAGAAAGAAAACGUGAACACAUCAUCUUGGGACACCUUUUUUAAAUUGUGUUUCUUUUGUUAAAUAUUGUUUAUAUAUGUCAGUAUUUUUUUAACUAGAAUCAAGAGCUUACGUCAACAAUGGACAAUUGCUAUGCAAAGCUGAGCUGUUUAAUGAACUGACAGUUUCUUAGUUAUCUUUGGGUUUCGGAAAGGUUUCAGUUUGCACUGAUUGGACAAAAACAGGUGAAUAACCUUUGGUUGCGUUGCCAAGUGGGUCGAGGGGGGGGGUGGGGUCGUUCCGUCUCACCAACCUAAAGCACUUGUCUGGCUCUCUGUCGCCAGUCACCAGUCUGACUAAACUCUUCUCUCCUUUUUAGGCAGAGAGAUCUUUAUCUGUGUGUCCACCCCUGCACUAUGGGCACAAAGACACUCAGGCUUUACUUUGGCUCACAACCCACACAACCACACCACCUGCAGGAACUUUGUACAAUUGCAGCAUGAGAGCAGAAUAAAGACACAAAGUAGAUUAUGUCCAAGGCCAGUGAUAGCUCAAAAAUGGCUUGAAAACGAAAUGGGAUGGUGGUUACUUUUCUUCAAACUGAAACUCAAAGAAAAAUCACGAAGUAAUUGUAUCACCAUCCCCACUGGACACGUAGAGUCUCCGUCUUCAGUUAUCCCUCUGACAUGAUUACCUUCAGUCAUUGCUGUCAGAUAGUGGCAGAUGGAGGGGAUGUGCCCAAUGAGACAAAGCGUGCUAAAACAAUAAAGCAGUAGCAGCUCAGAUGGGGGUUGGGUGGUGUGUUCAUUUCUCUCUCCUCUGUCCUUCUCCUCCGUCCCAUAUCUGUAAGUCCUCUGUUGGCCAGAGCUGGACAGUAAUUGGUCCUUCAUGGCUCUGUCCCCUCUUGACCCCUGACCUCUUCAUCUGAAGAGGAAGUAGGGUCAGAGGGGCAGAUGAGCAUCGUGAUGCCACUGCUGCGGACAGAUAAUGGUUUGGUUUGUGAGACAAGUGGUUAAACGCAGGAGAGGAAUAUUCCUGUCGAUGGUGAAGACAGUAACGCAGAGGGUGUUAUAGAGCUGCAGGAUAUUGGAAUCAGCAUGAGCAUUGGCUUCAAAAUCAUCGCUAAUGUAAAUUCACACCAAUUUCUGCCAAAAUGUUCUCAGCAGGCCUGUAACUAUAAACCAAUAUAUUUCCUUGAUACCAAAUGAUAACGCUGUUUUUGUGAGUAUCCAAAUGGAAGACAUCCACCUGUGUGUCCUUCUAAUAGUCUACAGUCGCUCCAACACAUAGGACUAUUUCUGUGGCUCAGUAAAGGAAGAAAAGGUGGGGAAUAUGCUGUUGUGUAAACAUACACACCAAGUACUCCCAAAUGCCAAAUCCUUUCUAAUAUGACACCCCAGGUAGGGUGUCCUAGCCAGCAGAAACCGAACUGGCAGGCUCAGAGAAGUCAGGAACUCUGCAGAGAGAAGCCAGUCAGAAGAAAUGGCAAAUACUGUAAAGGGUGUUGUGUGGCUCGUUCUGUAAAUGUGUUGUAAAUACUGAAAAGUAUUUUACUCCAGAUUAUACUUAUUUUCCUUGGGAAAAAAACACAUUUUGUACAGAGAUAGGACAUUUUUAAUAAUCCUGCUUGUAGUUUUUGAUGCUGUAAUUAAAACUGUGAUGCAAAGUGAAAUGAAAACCUCUCCGUAGUUCUUUAUCUUUUAUCCGUGCCGUGCAUAUCAUUCACACAAUCAUAAAUAUUCCUUUCUUUGUCUUUUCAUUUUAAACUCACCGCUCAGCAGAAUAUUUUCUGAAUAAGAUGUCCGUAUCAGUUUGUGCAUUUGAUGUGUGCUUGCAUGUUUUUGUGCUGUUGAGUGUUUAAAUCAGGGCAGAAGUCGAUUUGCAGAUUGAGGUAAUUAUAUUGUAUCACUUUAAGCCUAAAACCCUAAACUGUGUGUGUGACCCCACCUUUCUUUACAGUAGUUAUGUUGUGUUGUGCGUGAGUACCCGACAUCCAGUCCUGAUCUCUCAUGGUCAUACACUGUAUGCCUUGACUGCAAAGCUUUUCAACACACAAUCUGUUUACUUUGAUGCCGUUCACCUGGCCUAACAACCAUUUGAGUCUAGACCUGAGAUUAUUGGGCCUUUCCACACCUCUAAGAUUGUGACAAGUUAUUAACAUUAGUUUUCUGUUCAUUUCAUUGCUAAAGCAUCUCUUUGUGUGUGUGAUUUUAUUUCCUAGCCCCCAGGGCCUCUUGUCAUUGUCUGUGUUUGUCUUUCUGUCUGUGUAUUGCUGUCCAUAGCAGAGACCCUCUAGAGCAACUAAAGCAGACUGACUGUUGUGUGUCGUGUUUAUAGUAUCUCUUCGCCUUUAUUGCUUUAGUAUGGAGGAAGAGCUGUUGCCAGGGCAACUGUAGCUUUGACUGGGAUUGGGGUGACCAUGGGAAUUGAUGGUACAUUUCUAGUCCUUGCCGCUAAUUAAAUGUAAUAACUGAAAAGUAAACGUCUUGGUUUAUUUAAAAGAGCUUAAUUGAACACUAAUCCUUUUUUGUAUUCUUUUUUUCUCUCCCUCUUGCUGUCCUUACAGUGAAUGACUUCACCGUGAUCCGUAAAAAGUUCAAGUGCCCCUACUGCGGUUUCUCUGCUAUGCACCAGUGCAUCCUAAAAAGGCACAUGCGCUCCCACACCGGCGAGAGGCCCCUACCCCUGUGAAAUCUGUGGCAAGAAGUUCACCAGGAGGGAGCACAUGAAGCGGCACACACUGGUCCACAGUAAAGACAAGAAGUAUGUGUGUAAAGUAUGCAGCCGAGUCUCAUGUCGGCAGCCAGCGUGGGAAUCAAACACGGCUCUCGGCGUCACGGCGUCUGCGCAGACUGCUCUGGCCGAGGCAUGGCCGCGCUGCUGGACCACAACGGGGAGGUGGGAGGAGACAUCUCCCCCGAGGAGGAGCUGUAUCCUGGGGACCGUUUCCACGAUGACCAGGCAGAGGUGACGGUGAUUGGAGACGGCGAGGAGGAGAUGAUGGUGGAAGGGGACGGGAGAGAUGAUGGGAGAAGGGGAGGAGAAGGAGGGAAGUGGAAAGACUCGGGGAUGACCUCCGAGGCACACGGCGCACUGGACAAUGAGAAGGAGGAGAGCGACUCCUCGGCACAGGAGGGGGAGCAGCAGAACGGGAGCGAGAGGGACUUCGCCUGGAUCUCCUAGAAUCUGUCAGGCUCCUGUCAGCGGCUCAUCAACCAAUCUCUGAAGAUCUCUUGAGAUCUCUCGGGUAGAAUCCUCUGCUCUCUUUACCCAUUCGUCCAACUGUGGGCAGGCCUUCCUUUGAAUGGAAAUGCUGUAGGGUAAUGCGCGACAAUGAUCUAAAACCAUUACGAGUAACACACAGACACACACUCAAAUGCACAUACACACAAAACACAUACCACACACACACACACACAACACACAACACACGACACACACACACACACACACACCACACACACCACACACACCAACACACACACACACACACACACAACACACCACACACACACACACACACACACACACACACACACACACACACACACACACACACUUUGGCUAUUCUCACCUUGACUGCCAUAGUAGAAGAAGAGAGGUCGAGAGAUGGCUAAGGUGCAAGGCUUUUUCUGCUUACCUCCUUUUACUUCUGAUGCAGUGCUUUUGUGUUUCUUUUUCUUGAGGGUUCAGGCCAGAGUCCAGUAGUUGUCUACUCUGUCACAACAGGAAUCAACGAGGACGCUGCCAAGGACAUGGCCAAUGCAACUUUGUAUGUUUGCCAUCACAAUCACCAUGGAAACCAAGGAUCACUGACAGUGUAUGGAAAAAGCCAAGAGGGUGAGGGUGUCUUGGUGCCACCUGGACUGUAAUGUUUGUGGGGAAAGUGUCUCUCUACAAGGGAAAGGGAGAGUCUAAAUCUAUUGCAAAGCUACGUGUGUCGGAGCGGGCAGCUCGACGGCACAUUGUUGAUGCAGAGUCCUACUGCCACAGACUUGCACUUUAACGACAACUGACUCCUAUCAAAGCCCUGAACCCGUGGUUUACAUUUUUGAUCUGAUCUUUACCUAAACAACUCGGUGACCGCACCUACCUUUAAGGAUAUACUUUAUGUCCUCUUGACUGUUAUAUAGAAAUCACUGAAUCUUUGUGCAGAUUGCUGUUUAUAUAGCCUAUGCCUUUUCGAUGGGGUCCUUAAUCUUUUCUUUACUUAAGUUAACCACACGGUUUCUGCCAAUCCAUCCCAACAAAUACUGGAGAUUUGAGUAAUGUACAUACGUUUUUGGGGGAUUUUAAAAGGGGAGUGUGUGUGAGACGGCAAGAGACGGAGAGAGUGUAUGUCAGAGUUUAUACACAACGUGGAGAUCUGUUUCUGCUUCCCUGGUUGAAGAUUCAACAAUGAUCCACAGGACCUACACUAUUAACUCUUUCUGUGUCUCUCACUGUCUCUGGUUCUCUCAGUGGAGGUUGUGAUGAUGGGACCUGAGAACCAUGUCUUUCACACUGAAGGAGGAGCUGCCUUUGUUAAAAAAAAGUUUGGUAUCUUUUUCUUUUUUCCUGUCAUGUAAUAUCAGAAUAUGUAGUCUCCCUCCAUGGUUUCAACUUUCUUUUGGUCAUAUAUUUUCUUCGGUUUUGUUUAAAGAAAAGGAUCAAAUUGUGCUUGAAAUGUCUGAGUCUGAUAAUCUUAGAGAGUGUAAUAUUAACUGUUUUUGUUUUAACAGCUAUUUAUUGAAAACCUGUUUGUGGAUUUCCAAUUAUUUUUGAGAAGUCAUUCUCUCUCUCUCUCUCUCUCUCUCUCUCUCUCUCUCUCUCUCUCUCUCUCUCGUCUCCUCUCUCUCUCUCUCUCUCUCUCUCUCUCUCUCUCUCUCUCUCUCUCUCUCUCUCUCUCUCUCUCUCUCUCUCUGGGGUGGAUCAGGAUGGGUGUUUGUAUGCAAGAAUGCUUGAGUGUCCCAAAAAAAGUCUAUAUUGAUUUAUAAGAUUAUUUCCAUGUUUAUCUGCGAUGUUAUGACAAUUCAAGUGAGGCAGGUGACAUGUCUUAUUAUUAUUAUGUUUAUCAGAACAAUGGUUACUGUUGUUGAUGUUACUAUUAUUAAUUAUUAUUAAGUGCUGGAUGCUAAGCUUUAUUGUGUGUUCUUGUUUUGAUAUUUUAUAUCUUGUACAAGAAAAAAGCUUUUAUACUUUGCCUUGUUGUGGACAGCAAGCCAUAAGGCUUUUAUCAACCUUUUAUUGUGCCAGUUUACGCUUUUUCUGUCGUAUUUGCUUUUUUUACCAAGGGUAAAAACAACUUCACUGUCAAACUUUUAGAUAUUGAUUGAAACAUAUAUUCAGCACACGCUUUUGCAUCACUUAGCCUAUGUACACUAAUUGAUAAAUAUCAAACCAAAAACAAUCUAUUACCUUGUAUACAUGAAGUGCUUUCGUUUUACAGUCUGUAUGUGCAGGUGCUUUUUUGGAUUUUAUUGUUGUGGUUAACAGUUUUGUUGUUGGGUUGUUUUUAUUUUUUGAACCUGUCACUAUUUGUCACAGUUUGAAAAAGUGCACAUGUUAUGGUAUUAUUGUGAAUAUGAAGAAGGGCUGUGUGAAAGUACCAGCCAGCUUUUGAAGAUCGCAUCUGAAAACCAAGCUGAUCAUUUUGUAGUUUCUACUGUCUCACGCCUUGCAUGACACACAAUCACGUAGAAAUGCAGCAUGCAGACAAUGCUUCCUCUCAGACAGUGUUUCGUUUACAUGCUGGGUUUCUAUCUGCCAUACUGGCGUAAAUCUUAACAAUAAAAGGGAAAGUGAGCGCUGCAGUAGUAACUCUGGGAAACCUUUUGUCGCCUGUCUGCUACAGGUGACUGCACUUCCCAUCAACCCCCACUUAGAAGCUCUGUACAAUUUGAUUUGUGAUGCUUUCUUCACAUCUGGCUACCGUCUAUAUUUUGUUUGUAUAAUUUAUUGUGUUUUUGUUUCGACCCAUUUUGUAAAAGUUUUGGGUAGAAAAAAGAAGAAGAACAAAGUCAAUGGGGUAGGAUUUUAAUGAAUGUCAAUGGUGGGUGUGGAAGGAGCCCAUGAUCGGCGACAAAUCUCUGUCCUGUGGUUCUGUUUAGCCACUGAGAGACAUCUGGAUGUAUGUGUGACUCCCCUGCCCUGCGCUCUUCUCACGACCUGUACUGUAUGUCUUCUUCCUCAUACUGGGUUGUACUUCAGGAAAAACGUCUGCCAUCAACCCCUCAAUAUGUGCCUCAAUGACAUUUCACCCGUGUGCUUGUGAGAGUGUGUGUUUCCGAGAGAUGUGUAUGUGUUUGUGUCGACGGAUAGAGAUUACUUAGAUGCGACCGAUCAGAUUAGAGGUGCAAAAUGUUUCGGAGGAGGACAAAUCAUGAUGGGCGACUAGAUUCUCCUUCCCACCAUAUGUUGAUGACCUUUUGUGCCCUGAUUCUGUGGUCUUAACUGCAUGCCUGUGCUCAUUUUGUCAUACCAAAGCGACGUCUUCGGCAUCUGCACACAACUGUCUCAUUCCACAUGAUGCAAAACUGGAACUGUUUGCUCUAUUGCAGAUGAUUAUGGGUAUUCUUAGACGUGUACAAAUUGCAAUCCUCAUUUAGCCUGUAUAGCUUGAUUCACACGUGCAAAUCAUGAAGCCAUAGAUAUGGGUAUAUCUAUAUUCUAUAUUUCAAAUUUGGCGCUUUUUACUUUAGAUUUUGUUCUUCUACUAAGAGUGAUGUGUGUAUACCUUCAUAUAUAUGAAUUUAUAUUACGAUUAUAUAUUAUUUAUUUUCUCAAGUUUCAGAGGGUCUUUGAUUUGUGAAAGGUCACGCUUGAGGUUUGUUUAUUUUCAUUGGCAAUAUUGUUCAAUAUGAUACUGACUUUAUAUUAUCAUAAACCUGUGUUUGUAACAAAAUGUGUUAAAUAAUCAAAAAAAAACCUGUCCUGUUUUUACACCUGUUUUGUUUUCGGGCAGAUUUAUGUGCUCUUGUGCAGAUAUUUUUUUUCGGUUGACAGUACUGAUCACAAAACAUUUUUACAGCCAACCAUGAGCCUCCUGUUUUGAUGUUGGGGCGGGCCCAGCGGCCGUCCAAGCCUCUUUCUAACUUCAUGUUUAGUGGAAGAAUUAGCUUGACUAUUAUUUGCAAAAACCAAUCAGUCUCAAUAAAUUUUGAAAUUGCUGCUGUAAAGAAGUAA